rnacentral:rRNA from 1 species
UACGUAGGCGGAAGAUUAAGUCAGUAGUGAAAUCCCGCAGCUUAACUGUGGAACUGUUAUUGAUACUGGUUUUCUUGAAUUUAGUUGAGGUAGGCGGAAUGUGUAAUGUAGCGGUGAAAUGCUUAGAUAUUACACAGAACACCGAUUGCGAAGGCAGCUUACUAAGCUAUGAUUGACGCUGAGGUACGAAAGCGUGGGGAGCGAACAGGAUUAGAUACCCUGGUAGUCC